AUGUUUGUUCAUUCCCUUCUCAGAUUCCUCAGAGGGGCUGGCAUUGGCAGCUGCAUCAUCCUGGUGCCUUGAGAAAGCGCUUCUGCACAGCAUUUCUCAUCACACCGUGACUGCUGCCUUGACAUUGUGCCGAGCUGACAUCCCAACCGGUCUGACACUGAUGCCUUUGGGCAGAAAUCAGAGCCGGUUUGCUCCAUGGCUCGGUGCAGCCACGACGCCUGUAGCGCCUCGCAGAGCCCCCAGUGCCCUGCUGGGGAAAUGGAGCGAGCACGUGGGCCCCAGAUGAACUCCGCAGGCACAGCAGCUCCUUGACUUCAGCUAAUUGCCAUGUUCCCUCGAAGGAGGAGUGAUGCCUCACCCAAGUUUCUCUGCUAUGGAUGUGAGGAGCUGAUCUCGGAGUUAUUCAGUGGUUUCUUACAUCAUUCCUGUGUUCCCAGCCGUGCCACAAGGCUUUCAGAAGACUAUGAAACCAAGAAUGAGAGACAAGUGUGAGCCUUCCUCCAGCCCCUUCUGUCAUCUGGGCAUGCUCGUGCCACGUGUCACUACAAACAUUUGGGACAUCUGGAACGGGUUCAUGAAAGUUCCUCUGUCUGGUUCAGUGCCUGGUCACAGUGAGUUUUCCUGGCACAAGCGAGUGGAAAGAGCACUUUGGCAUGGAGAGGAAAUGAGCAGCGGAGGGUGAAAGGUGUCCUGCCAGGCAUUUCCCAUUUGUGUCCUUAUCCCAGUUUCCAGCCAUCUUCAGAGGCUUCCCAGCUACUGUGUCCUGCAAGUUCAAAACCCUGCAGCCCACUGGGACUGGGAAUGUGUGAAGGAGCACAAGGAUUGGAGUUGAAUGACAGUGAUAAAUAGGGAGCCGCCUGCCCCUGGGGGCCAUGCACUGUGUUCCUCCCCCAGAGUGUGCAAAUAUUUGCAGCAGAGCAGCCUCUGAGCCCCGAGACGUGAGCAGCGACACGAGGAGGUGCAGCCCAGGGCAGGGGCAAGGCCAGAGGGUGUGAAACCAGCACACAGCCCCCGGGGUGGCUGCCUGGCUGUUACAAUUUAUCAUGAACGCAUCUCACUUCACUUCUGGCUCCUCUGACGGAAGGAACAGCCGGUCUCCGGGAGGUCAAAGACAUUAUUUUCCCCUAGUCUUUCUCAGUUUCCAGCACAUAUUUGUCACUUUGAAAAAGCAUGAAUUCUGGAUUUGAUGCACUUUAAUUGAUUUCACCCUCAACAAGUCCAACUGUCCAUCAACCUUUCCUUUUUCUUUCCUCUCCCCCUUCUUCACUUCUUUCCUCUGUCCCUUUGCUUUGAGAGUGAUGUUUUCACCCGCCUGCAUGUUGGAGCUGUGGCAAAGCCCAUGACCCUAUCAAGGCUUACUGUCACUAGCCAUUGCACUCAUUCUCCCUUAUCCUCCAAGUUCAACUUUGGAUGCUGAAUGAGAAUGAAGUAGGAGUACUGAGUUGUAGAAUCUCAGUGAUGUGCUCCUUGUCAAAGUAAAAGUGAUGGCUGAUGGUC